GAUCAGAUUCGGCAAAUGUCGCCGGCGACCGGCGGCCGGCCACCGUGCGCGGUGGUUUCGGCGGUGGCUCCGGUGGGCUAUGAAGAUGAUUCAACUUCCAGAGGCUUCCUCAUAAAUUUUUGAAAUUUUUGAGACACAGAUAAACUUCGGGUGAUCGAUGUCAGCUAUUUUCCUGCAUCCAGCAGCCAAAAUAAUCAUCGGUGUACUGUGAGUAAAAUAUUAAUUUUAAUUGUAAUUUCAAUAUUAUUAUAUGUUCAAGCAUGCCCAUGCAUCACCUAUAUGCAUAUAUCUAUGUAGUUAAACUCUAGGCACGUUUUAUGUUGCAUUCACAACUAUUAAAGUGCCAUGUAUAUUGUUGUAGUAAUUUAGAGCAGUGUGCGUGCGUUGGCGUGCGUGUGAUGUGGUGUUGGCUAUGGAUAGGACGGGUAGUCACGGCUUGAGAUCUUCGCUGGGACCCGAUCCUUCGGGGGUAGUCACGGCUUGAGUUCUUUGCUGGGACCCCGAUUUGGUUUAUUAAGCGAAAGUCCGGAUUGAGUUCUUCGCUGGCACCAGGCCACAGGAGGAGUUAUUUUACAGAGCAACCUGUUUUCUUCCUCGCAGGUUUAACGUCAAUUAUUUAAUUGUUUUACUAUCUUUUCUAAAUUUAAAAUCUAGAACUCCGCAUGUGUUAGUAAUAGUGUGGG